CCCAGACAAGCUAGAACAUUUCAAACAAGUUCCAGUUUUUACUUUCAUCCUGAGAAAGAAGCUGGGAGUUUCCUACUUUUCAUUCUGUGCUGCAGAAUGAGAGUUCAUAAUUUCUGCUGUGUACAGUGGCACAUGCCUGUAAGCCCAGAAGCUCAGGAGGCUGAGGCAGAAGGAUCCUGAGUUCAAAGCCAGCUUCAGCAACUUAGUGAGGCCCUAAGCAACUCACUUGUAUUACAGAAAUAUCAGGAUCUCACAGGAAAAGAAUCAGAGCCUGGCUACAAGUGCACUCCCCAGAGGAACUAUCAGGUCCCAAACUCCAGCCUGCCACAGUGACAUCUCUCUCCCCUGAAUCAGCUCUACGUCCACACCCAGCAGGAAGCAGUUACUGAAGAUGGACCUUCGUCCAUGUACCCAAAAGAGAUCUUCUUAUAAAAACAAAAAAGGGGGAAUAUAAUAUAAAGUUGCUCCUCUGCCCUUUACGCUGCAGCCAUUUCUCCACCUCUCAUCUUACAACCUAGCUUGUCAGUCUGUGAACAUCCUAGCUAGCUAUUGGUUCAUCAGUCAGCCUGUAAGUCUCCUACUCAGUUAUUGGUCCCUUGUUAGCCCACCGAACUCCAAUAUUUAGGAGAAGCUCCUGCACCAUUCUUUCUCUUUUCCUUUCUUUCCAGCCCCGAGUGGAUGCUCUAGUCGACCGCCUAAUAAAAUCUCUGGUGUGAGUUCCUGUGUCUGCAGUGGCUUUCUGGGUGCUGUCGCUGGGCCACGACUCAGACUGGGCACCCCAGAGUGCCUGCUCCCCUGGAUUUAAGGGUCUGAGCUGCUUUGGAACCCAAGCUGAGCUGCAUUU